rnacentral:antisense_RNA from 1 species
AUAAUCCAUUUUAAAGCAAGAAAACAAGAUAAUUCAAGGGAAAAAUGUAUGACUCUAAAUUUGGAAACCAGACAGGAUCUGCCAAUACGGGGCAGAAUGUUAAAAAGAUGAAUUUUUAUUUCAGAAAAUUUAGAAGAAAAUGGAUUUCUCAGGCAACUGAAAGAACAUAUUUGGAUCUGUUAAGACUAAAGGAGACUUCAAGAGAACUGGACUUUGUGUUGGACAGACUGUCUGUGACAGGGAAAAAAGCCCUUCUGAAUGAUUAGGGACGAAUCAGUUAACUGGCUUGAGUUUCACAUUCUUCAUCUGUAAAAUCUGGUGAUUAGAUUGGCCCAGCAAAAGAUAUAAUACACAUAAAUUGGAAUGAAUCUGCAUUUUCCAAGCCUGAUGAAUUUAUUAAAACUGAAUUAAGUCACUAACUGGCAGCCUGAAGAUGAAAGGAAAGAACUCAGUCAUGCUUCUUAAGGUAAAAGGACAGUCUAACUGAGAAUUUUGUUAUCUCUGAGGACAAAUUACAAGGAGAUAAAGAUACUCAAGAUCACAUGGAAGGCUUCUGCUCCCACUUAGAGACUGCAAUGUAAGGUAUGGAAACAGAAUAUUCUCUAUAGAAACAUACAUGUUAAAAUAUGAACAUUUUUGUUCUUAUUUCAAUCCAAAAAUAAAUAAAUGAAUU